rnacentral:rRNA from 1 species
UACGUAGGGCGCAAGCGUUGUCCGGAAUUAUUGGGCGUAAAGAGCUCGUAGGCGGUUUGUCGCGUCUGCUGUGAAAACGCGAGGCUUAACCUCGCGCCUGCAGUGGGUACGGGCAGACUAGAGUGCGGUAGGGGAGACUGGAAUUCCUGGUGUAGCGGUGGAAUGCGCAGAUAUCAGGAGGAACACCGGUGGCGAAGGCGGGUCUCUGGGCCGUUACUGACGCUGAGGAGCGAAAGCAUGGGGGAGCGAACAGG